rnacentral:pre_miRNA from 1 species
AGUGGGAUAGCUGGGUCAAAUGGUGGUAGCAUUCCCAGUUUUCUAAGGAAUCUCCAUACUGCUUUCCAUAGUGGUUCCACCAAUUUGCAGUUCCACCAGCAAU